UCCUGGUGGCUCAGACGGUAAAGCGUCUGACUACAAUGCAGGAGACCCAGGUUCGAUCCCUGGGUCAGGAA
rnacentral:tRNA from 1 species